GACGCACUGAUCGAGCGAUGGAGAGAGCCCGACACAGAGCGUAAGCGUCGUACGUGUCAAGCACGUGAAAUGCACAGCAUCGGAUGAACGGGGGUCGAGAGCCCGCACCCGUUAAAUGUUCUGCAUUCGAGAGCACGAUCGAAUACCGGUGCACCAAUACUACCACGAAAGAUUAGGUGGCAUGCUUGGGACCAUGAUUGACGUCCAACCCGUGGCUCCUCGGGACACAAGACGGAUGAGGGAUGACGAGAAAUCUAGUUUCCAUCGAUUCAGGUAUGCAACACAGGAUCCCGAUCGUGCCCCUUGUGUACGACGACCGCAUGGGGGGAGAUUGAAGAGGAUGAUGGGUUGACAGUUCUAUGCAUAGAGCACAGAGCCUACCCACAUGCACAACCAUAGCACCACUCAUAUGCCCAUUGCGUACAAAUGGUAGCAUCCACGCACGUCGAUCCGUAACCCACCCGAUCGAUUACUCGAUGAGCGAGCGGAGGAAAUGACGUGCGAGGCCAUGCCACAACCGCUUGGCAUGAGAAAAACAUGAGCAAGGGCCACGAGAUUGCCCCUGCCAUCCAACAGGCAACAAAGUGACACCACCAAUGCUUGGCCCAAUCGAGACCGCACGCGCACGCUUCGCUGACACCAUCCCAGGGGGACGUUGCCCGAUUUAGGGACUUGUUCCUAGGGUCACAGGCAGCAUCGACUGCGUGCACGACCUCGUCGAGGCCUAGGCAUUUUUAUGGUCGAUGAGAAGGGACCGCAAGACAGUCAAAUACCGAGAGACCUGGUCGGGCCAAGCCCGUAACCGUGGCUUCUACUCGUACCACCCCAGGGAGCCAUUGCCUGAUUCAGGGACUUGGUUUGGGGUCUAGGGCAACAUCUGCCGCGUGCACGAGCUUGAGCUCGGCUUUUUUUUUUUGCAUGCAUGCCAACCGGUCGAGGCCAUGGGCAUCUACCAGUCAUCGGAGCAACUAGUCGUCGGACAAAAUGGUCGAAAGGCAUGCACGCCCUGUAUUUUGCUCGAGGGACGUUGCCAUGGGUGUACGCAAUGAGAGGCCCAUCACGCACACCUACUCCCCCCGUGGGGAGGGAGAGGGGGUGCUGGACCACCACCCCCUAAAGAGCAUUAAAGAUUUUACAAAUAUGCUACCAGUAGACGUUAAAGUGUCUGAAAUGAGGAUACUUUUUCGAACAAACAUAUCCCGCACCAAGGGUGAGCAAGUACCGAUGAUGGUUGGGGCAUGUGCCCACACCAAGGGCCAGCAUGUGCCGAUAGUGGUUGAGGCAACCGCCUGCACUAGCUCGAGGCAUGUGCCCACACCAAGGCCUGGCAUGUGCCGAUGGUGUUUGAUGCAACCACCCGCACCAUGGGCUAUCUUCUACUGAUAGUGGUCGAGGUAAGAGCCAGCACCAAGGGCCAGCUUGUGCUGAUGGUGGUCGAGGCAACCGCCCGUUUCAAGGGCCAUCUUCUGUCGAUGGUGGUCGAGGCAAUCGCCCGUAUUAAAGCCCAGCACGUGUCGACGGUGUUCGAGGCAACCACCCGCACCAAAGGUCAGCUUGUGCCGAUGGUGCUCGAGGCAAUAGCCCGCACCAAGGGCCAUCUUUUAUCGAUGGUUGUCGAGGUAACCACCUGCACCAAGGCCCAGCAUGUGCCGAUGGUGUUCGGGCAACCACCCGUACCAAGGGCCUGCAUGUGUCGAUGGUGUUUAAGGCAACCGCCCGUACCAGGGGCCAUCUUCUGUCGAUGGUGGUCAAGGCAAGAGCCCGCACCAAGGGCUAGCUUUUGUCGAUGGUGGUUGAGGUAACCGCCCGCACCAAGAGCCAUCUUCUGCCAAUGGUUGUCGAGGUAACCGCCCGCACCAAGGCCCAACACGUGCCGAUGGUGUUUGAAGGAACUGCUCGCACCAGGGGCCAGCAUGUACCAAUGGUGUUUGACGUAACCGCCCACACCAAGGGCCAUCUUCUGUCGAUGGUAGUCGAGGCAACCGUCCGCACCAGGGGCCAGCAUGUGCCAAUGGUGUUCGACAUAACCACCCACACCAGGGGCCAUCUUCUGUCGAUGGUGGUUGAGGCAAGAGCCUGCACCAAAGGCCGACUUAUGCCGAUUGUGCUCGAGGCAACCGCCCGCACAAAAGCCUAGCAAGUCCCGAUGGUGUCCGAGGCAACUGCUCGCACCAAGGCCCAGCAUGUGUCGAUGAUGGUCGAGGCAACUGCCAGCAGUAAGGCCCAGCAUGUAUCGAUGCUGUUUCGCGCAACUGCCCAUACCAGGGGCCAUCUUGUGCCGAUGGUGGUCGAGGCAACCGCCCGUACUAGGGGCCAUCUUCUACCGAUUGUGGUCAAGGCAAGAGCCUACACCAAGGGCCAGCUUGUACCAAUGGUGGUCGAGGCAACCGCCCGUGCCAGGGGCCAUCUUCUGCCAAUGGUGGUCGAGACAAUCGCCCGCACCAAGGUCCAGCAUGUGUCGAUGGUGUUCGAGGCAACUGCUCGCACCAAGGCCCAGCAUGUGCCGAUGGUGCUCGAGGCAACCGCCCGCACCAAGGCCUAGCAUGUGCAAAUGGUGUUCGAUGCAAUCGUCCGCACCAGGGACCAUCUUGUGCCAAUGGUGGUCGAGGCAACUACCUGCACCAAGGCCCGGCACAUAUUGAUGGUGUUCAAGGUAACCGCCCACACUAGGUGCCAUCUUAUACCGAUGGUGGUCGAGGCAACCGCUCGCACCAAGGCCCAACAUGUGCUGAUGGUGUUUGAUGCAACCGCCCGCACCAGGGGCCAUCUUAUGCCAAUGGUGGUUGAGGUAACCGCUCACACCAAGGGCCGACUGGUGCCGAUGGUGCUCGAGGCAACGGCCCACACCAAGGCCACGUACGUGUCGAUGGUGUUCAAGGCAACCGCCCCCGCCAAGGCUCGGCAUGUGCCAAUGGUGGUCGAGGCAACCGCCCGUACCAGAGGCCAUCUUGUGCCGAUGGUGGUCUAGGCAAUCGCUCGCACCAAGGGUCGGCUUAUGCCAAUGGUGGUCGAGCUAAUCGCCAGCACCAAGGGUCGGCAUGUGCCGAUGGUGAUCAAGGCGACCGCCUGUACCAGGGCUCAGCUUGUGCCGAUGGCGGUCGAGGUAAGUGCCCAUACCAAAGGGCAGCCUGUGUCGAUGAUGGUCGAUGCAUGUGCCAUCAACAAUGCGCCAUCAUGGUGCCAUUGAUGGUCAAGGCCUUGGCCGAAAGUUCAAUUUGUGAGCCACGGUGGCACAUGCUUGGGCUUCCGAUCCAUGGUCUGGUGGUUGCAUUAUUUUUUCACCUGGGGCAACCAUCGUCGGAGUCAUCACCGGAGCAUCGUCGGAGAACCCUGACAAGCCGACAUUAGGUGGGGUCCGGCGAUUGGGGGCCAAGGGGGUGUGCACACAUGAUGUGGCGAUGGGUGCUGGUACUUGGGCCCUUAUAUGGGCCCCCUAUGCCCUCAUCAAACCUCGAGAAGCUUCACACCCCUUUAAAGAGCAAUUUGAGAUUUUAUAGGUUUGUUGCCGUAGCCAUUCAAGUGUCUGAAAUGGGGACACUUUUUUCAAAUGGUCACAAAAUCUUCUCCACUUCGAGUUUUUAGCUGAACGUUUUUGUACAUGCCAACAAAAAUAAAAGGAUCACGUCUACAAAAUUUGGGGCCAAAACUCCUUCUAAAAAAAUUUUAAAAAAUCUCGAACCGCAAAAAGUUUUGAAAAUCAUGAAAAAUAAAAAAUGAGUCGUCUUGCUACGAAACUUCACAUGAAGGCUUAGGGGACCAUUGUAUGAAUUUACAAGACAUAAAAAUGGCAUUGGCACAGCAAAAAUAUGAAGAUGUGCCUAAACCCACCUACCACCCCGAUCAAUCCACGGCUUGCGCAUCCCACCUCUCUGGCCGGCGUAGUGCCCGUCCGUUCGUUUCGUAGGUUGACUUAGGCAUAUGGAGUUCUUUCCCAAUCUAAGAUCGGACCAGACUGAGGGUUGUGACAGUAGGACCCGUAACGGGAUCGACAGCACGCAGAGGGGGGUCGAGCUGAUCCUCGGUGUCACAGUUCGCGCGUUCCUCUUUUUGAAACUACGCGUCCGUGCGACACCAAGACUACUCAUAGUCAAGGUCAGCCUUCUAUCGUGUCCAUUUUUCCAUGGACAGACCAAUUUCGAUCCUACAAGUCGCGUGCCCAUGAGCCUAUUCUAGCUUUGACCCCGUAGGGUCGCUCAUUUCGAACCCUAUAGAGAGGAACCCAACUCUCAUCGUGCAUUAGCCCGCGAUUCUUCAAGUGACCCUGAGUGCCCAGCUCUGGCCGCAAGGCUUAAGGCCUCAAGCGUCGACCCUCGAAUCCCCAUAGGGGCAUACAACCCACAAUUCUUAAAGUAGCCUGAAGCAUCCAGCUCUGCCGUAAGGCUUUGGACCUCGAGCAUCGAUCCUCCAAUGCCCGUAAGGACACACAGUCCCGGUUCUCAUGAUAUUAUUACUUCUUGACAUGCUGAGAACCCAACACCAUGCUCGUCCGUAUCGUACGUAAGCUCCCAUAUCAAGUUUAUGCAAGCCUCACAUUUCAAGUGGUCAGCAGCCAGUUCGGAGCCUCUAGGCUCAUCUCAUCCCACGGGACUCGGUUCUUAGGGCUUAGGCACUUAGCAUCAGUAUCAGCCGCCCGUACGCAUAAUUGACACCCAACAUCAUGCUAGUCCCGUAAGGAGACUUGGGUGGACUGCCCCAACUACAGCCCACCUCUACCGACUGGCUAUAAGGGUCUAGCAACGUGCCUGCUUGCUAGCCCACGCAUCCCAUAGGCUCGACGGCAUCCCUCCUACGCAGAUGCCAUCCCUUGAUCCUUCCGACUCAAGGAGGGGAAACCGAGGGGCCAAUGAUCUCUACUGUGUAACCCCAUGGUUUAACACAAAGGUGCGAUACGAGGCCCGUCGACCCCAACCGCCCCCGGGUUUACCAUGACCUGAGGAAACAUCGUGCCACGCUCGUGACCCUACGAUGACCGCCCACUUAGCCACCACUAGUGACUAGGAGUAGCUCACUUCAGACUAGCCAAGCCCCCGCCUGCCCGUUAGGGGGUGGUGGAGAGCUAACACUAGUCGUCCCCCUAUAAAGAGCGUAAGAGAUUUUCCCAAUCUCCUACCAGUGACCGUAAGAUUGUCUGAAAUGGGGACACUUUUUCUCUCCAGCGAUCUCAAGGCCUUUCUCCGGCUAACUCAGGACCCCAUAACCUUCCUCUUGGUCACCACUACUCCUUGAUUCUGCUUGUUGCUCCACCAACCCACUCGAAGGUGCCCGCACAUGGCUUCGAUCGAGAGCACCUGAUUGGCUAGCUGGUCCUAGGGCACCGGCGUACUGCCUCAUACUUACCUAUUUAUCUUAGGGUUUAGGACAUGGACCGUCCACACACAAUAUCCCUAACAUAUUCCCAUGCUCAGAACACCCACACACUACUUCCACUAAUAGCACCCGCCAGGCUACUUGGCUUAAGGGUGCUUGACCACCGUCCCGAACUUCCUCGCGUAUCUUGCGGUCCAGGGCUCCCACUGCCAGCACAACAUGGUAGUAACAUGUUCCAAGGCUCCAAAUGCACGCCCACAUCUCUUAGAGCCACUUUCCCACCAGCUUGGUCUCGACCAAUGCUCGGUUCAGGAUCAGUCGUGGCAGGACCAAGGCCUGGCCAUGACAUUCUCCCCACUUACUAUGUCGAUGCCUCAUCGACGCUAAGACCACACCAACUCUCUUGUGCAGCACAGCUGACAUUUGCUCAUAUGUCUCUCACUGUGUGCCUCAAGGAUUGAUCGAGGCCCCGUCACAUGGGGCAUCGCCCACAGUACUCGCCCAUUGUUGAUGUAGAUUGGUCGCGUUGCCGUACUCAUGCCGCUCAGCUCAGUUCCUUCUCGAAUCGUCUAACCUUAUCUUGAUUGUUCCAUAUAGGCCAUACCAUUGCUUCAUCUCUUGAUCAUGUCAUGUUGUGACCUCGAGGCACCCUCAUUGAUCAAUGACCCUCAGUAGAAUGAAUGACCACCCGCUUUGCCACUCAUUGGUGCAUCCCACCAGACGUGACCCCUCACACCAACUGCACACUUGCAGCAUCAACCCUCUGAUGUGCCCCUCUGGACGUGGUGCUUAGGUUAACCGCACUCAUACGGCACCCUACAUGAUAGACCCUAGCACAGUGUCAUUCAGGCACUUUGGUCAUCUCCCAACUUAGGUCCUCUCAGCCCCUCCAAGGUCACCCCUCUAGAUGUGGCCCUCUGGCCAACCGCCCUCAAGACGACACCUUAAUGCAUGCUAACUCAGUCUUUGCUCAGUCUCAUGGGGAAUUGAUAGGUCUCCCCCACUUUUACUCGAAACUCGAUGCAGCAUUAUGCACAACCAUGUCUCCUCCAUGGGUCUACUACUUGUCUGCCUUGACUCUAGCAUAGCUCCUAUGACAUCUCGAAAUCUACACAUACUCGAAGAUCCACUGAUCCGACAAAAUGCCUAGUCCACUGAUUUGCUCGACUCAGGGAUUCACCUACUCAAUCCUUAAGGUCCACUGACCUACACGUCUGAGGGCCUUGUUAACUGGCCAUUUCCCUUUUCUUGUUUCACCAGGUUACACCCUGUCGUGGCCCACUGACCACCACAGCUCACGUGAAGCCUUUCCUAUCGGCCAACACAGACUCAGUUCAUUGAUUCACACACUCUCAUGGUCCUCUGACCAAUGCAGCUCAUGGUCCACCAACCAUCUCACUUGUGGGUUCAAUCUUUAGCCACUCCAUACUCCUCUGUGUGAGGACUCCAUGCUUGGACCCGAAUACUUUGGCUUGCACCCCCGCUGGGGCAUCUACACCACAUAGCAAGUGCACACGUUAGUAAUUAAUCUUGAAACUCGAUACCUCAUUCCCCUCAGGACAAGAUUCACUCGGCCCACAUGGCCUUAUGCAACACCAUUUCAUGGUGUAAGCCUCUUUUUGCAUCUUGGUCUCACUACAGUUCCUUCCACCAUGAAGGCAUCCCAUGCCCCAAAAUGUGCCAACACCUUUUUUAGGUGAGGCUACACUCCGGUGCCCUUUUGCUUGGCAUCCAAGAGCCUACUCGAAAGCCUUUUUACAUAGGCCUAGUUUUCUCGUAGCACGCAUCGUUGGCUCCUUUUCGAGCCCCCUAUAGGCAUAUAAUCGCAUUUUCGUCUCGAUAGCUCCGUUUGAGCUUGGCACUCCCUCGAUUUCACGUCACUAGACCCACACAUGGGGUCAUGUAGAUCUCACCACUGAGCUAACCUAGGCUCUGAUACCAAAUCUGUCAUGGUCCGCGCAUUCCUCUUGCUAAAACUACGCAUCCAUGCGGUACCAAGACUACUCGCAGUCAAGGUUAGCUUUCUAUCAUGUCCAUUUUUUCAUGGACAGACCAAUUUCCAUCCUACAAGCCGCAUACCCAUGAGCCUAUUCUAGCUCUGACCCCGUAGGGUCUCUCAUUCCGAGGCCUAUAGAGAGGAACCCAACUCUCAUCACACAUCAGCCCGCGACUCUUCAAGUGACCCUGAGUACCUAGCUCUGGCAGCAAGGCUUAAGGCCUUAAGCGUCGACCCUCGAAUCCCUAUAGGGGCACACAGCCCACGAUUCUUAAAGUAACCCCGAGCAUCCAACUCUGCCCGUAGGGCUUUGGACCUCGAGCAUCGAUCCCCCAUUGCCCGUAGGGACACAUAGUCCCGAUUCUCAUGAUAUUAUUACUUCUUGACAUGCUGAGAACCCAACACCAUGCCUGCCCGUAUCAUACAUAAGCUCUUGUAUCAAGUUUAUGCAAGCCCCACAUUUCAACUGGCUAGCAGCCAGUUUGGAGCCUCUAGGCUCAUCUCGUUCCACGGGACUCAGUUCUUAGGGCUUAGGCCUUUAGCAUCAGUAUCAGCCGCCCGUACGCAUGAUUGACACCCAACAUCAUGCUAGUCCCACAAGGGGACUUGGGUGGAUUGCCCCAGCUGCAACCCACCUCUACCGACUGGCCACAAGGGUCUAGCAGCGUGCCUGCUUGCUAGCCCGCGCAUCCCAUAGGCUCGAUGGUAUCCCUCCUACGCAGAUGCCAUCCCUUGAUCCUUUCGACUUAAGGAAGAGAAACCGAGGGGCCAACGAUCUCUAUCGUGUAACCCCAUGGUUCAACGCAAAGGCACAAUACGAGGCCCGCCGGCCCUAAUCGCCCCCGGGGUUUACCGUGACCCGAGGAAACAUACUACAAUGCCCGUCCACCUAACCACCACUAGUGACUAGGAGUAGCUCACUUCAGACUAGUCAGGCCCCCGCCUACCCGCUAGCCAAGGGGGUGGUGGAGAGCUAACACCAGUCGUCCUCCUAUAAAGAGUGUAAGAGAUUUUCCCAGUCUCCUACCAGUGACCAUAAGAUUGUCCGAAAAUGGGGACACUUUUUCUCUCCAGCCAUCUCAGGGCUUUGUCCGACUAACUUAGGGCCCCAUAACCUUCCUCUUGGUCACCACUACUCCGUGAUUUUGCUUAUUGCUCCACCAACCCACUCAAAAGUGCCCGCACAUGGCUUCGACUGAGACCACCUGACUAGCUAGCUGGUCUCAGGGCACCGACAUACUACCUCAUACUUACCUACUUAUCUUGGGGUUCAGGAUAUGGACCAUCCACACACAAUAUCCCCAAUAUAUUCCCAUGCUCAGAAUGCCCACACACUGCUUCCACUAAUGACACCUGCUAGGCUACUUGGCUUGAGGGUGCUUGACCACCGUCCCGAACUUCCCCGCGUAUCUUGUGGUCCAGGGCUCCCACUGCCCACACAACAUGGUAGUAACAUGUUCCAAGGCUCCAAAUGCACGCUCGUAUCUCUUAGAGCCACUUUUCUGCCAGCUUGGUCUCGAUCGUUGCGUAGUUCAGGAUCAGUCAUGGCAAGACCAAGGCCUGGCCAUGACACCCGACUUGCGCAUUCUACCUCUCUGGCCAGUUGAGCGCCCGCACGCUCGUUUCGUGGGUUGACUUAGGCAUACAGAGUUCAUUCCCAGUCUAAGCAUACGGAUUAGACUGAGGGUUGCGACAGUAGGACCAGGAACAGGAUCGACAGCACGCAAAGGGGACCGGGUCGAUAUCUGGCUUGCGCAUUCUACCUCUCCGGCAGACUGAGUACCCGCACGCUCGUUUCGUGGGUUGGCUUAGACAUACGGAGUUCAUUCCAUGUCUAAGCCCCAACCGGACCGAGGGUUGUGCAGUAGGACUGACAGUGGGAUCGACAGCACGUAGAGGGGGACCAGGCCAAUCCUCGGCUUACGCAUUAUGCCUCUCUGGCCGACUCAGCACCCGCACGCUAUUUAUGGGUUGACUUAGGCAUACGGAGUUCAUUCCCAGUCUAAGAUCAGACGACGCAGAGGAUUAGCAGCAGCAUGUAAAGGGGGACCAAGCUGAUCCUCGGCUUGCGCAUCUUGCCUCUCCGAUCGGUUGAGUGCCCGCACACUCGUUUCGUGGGUUGACUUAGGCAUACAAAGUUCAUUCCCGAUCUAAGCCCCAAUCGGAUCGAGGGACCCGCAGCAAGAUCGACAGCACGUAGAGGGGGAUCGGGUCGAUCCUCGGCUUACGUAGUCUGGCUCUCCGGUUAACUGAGCACCUGCACGCUCGUUUCAUGGGUUGACUUAGGCAUACUCAGUGCAUUCUCGAUCUCGACCAACCAAGGGCCAGAGGCUAUCGACGGCAUUUGGGGCAACAAUCGAGGGGGACCAGCAGUGGGAUCCUUGGUCGGCUCGUGCAUCCCACCCCCAGCGAUCGGUUCGGUGCAAAAACAAAAAUUCAGGGGCCGAACGAGGGGAGCGAAGUUUGUUCUCGAUCGGGAUCGAGAAUGGAGGGCCCCGGGUCACGCCUAACCCCUAAGAGGGGCGGUGUGAAAAAAAGGAAGGUCGAUGGGGGGAGGGACGAAUCGAAGUGACAAAAGGGCUGAAUCUUAAUGGAUCGUGGCAGCAAGGCCACUCUGCCACUUACAAUACCCCGUCACAUAUUUAAGUCGUCUGCAAAGGAUUCUACCCACCGCUCGAUGGGAAUUGAGCUCCAAAG
rnacentral:lncRNA from 1 species